GGAGGAGGUAAGCGUUGUUCGGAUUUACUGGGCGUAAAGGGUGCGUAGGCGGUCUCGAAAGUCGGACGUGAAAUACCAGGGCUCAACCUUGGAAUUGCGCUCGAUACUGCGAGACUAGAGUGUGGAAGGGGAGAGUGGAAUUCCCGGUGUAAGGGUGAAAUCUGUAGAUAUCGGGAGGAACACCAGUGGCGAAGGCGACUCUCUGGUCUACUACUGACGCUGAGGCACGAAAGCUGGGGGAGCGAACGGGAUUAGAUACCCCGGGUAGUCCCAGCCGUAAACGAUGUGCACUUGGUGUAGGUGGUUUUUUCCCGCCCUGUGCCGGAGCUAACGCAUUAAGUGCACCGCCUGGGGAGUACGGCCGCAGGGCUG
rnacentral:rRNA from 1 species